GAUGAACGCUGGCGGCGUGCCUAAUACAUGCAAGUCGAGCGAACAGAUGAGAAGCUUGCUUCUCUGAUGUUAGCGGCGGACGGGUGAGUAACACGUGGGUAACCUACCUAUAAGACUGGGAUAACUCCGGGAAACCGGGGCUAAUACCGGAUAAUAUUUUGAACCGCAUGGUUCAAUAGUGAAAGACGGUUUCGGCUGUCACUUAUAGAUGGACCCGCGCCGUAUUAGCUAGUUGGUAAGGUAACGGCUUACCAAGGCGACGAUACGUAGCCGACCUGGGAGGGUGAUCGGCCACACUGGAACUGAGACACGGUCCAGACUCCUACGGGAGGCAGCAGUAGGGAAUCUUCCGCAAUGGGCGAAAGCCUGACGGAGCAACGCCGCGUGAGUGAUGAAGGUCUUCGGAUCGUAAAACUCUGUUGUUAGGGAAGAACAAACUUGUUAGUAACUGAACAAGUCUUGACGGUACCUAACCAGAAGGCCACGGCUAACUACGUGCCAGCAGCCGCGGUAA
rnacentral:rRNA from 1 species